AUUAGUCAAAGCAGGCAAUCCAAAGCUGUUGCCUCUGUUCUGCCUUGCCUUUCCCAUGGGACCCCACCAAAGGCCGGAUGAUCUCGUUCCCAUCUUCUGCCUCCUGAUGAAGCUGAUGUCUUUUCCACAUGGUUCUGUGUGGCAGAUUGUCUCUGGGCCCCUCCUGUCUCUGGAACCUGAGGCCAAUUGGGCCAAUUGCUUUGGUUCUGUGGUGGCAUCAUAGCAAGAGAGUGUGGUAGAGGAAGCUAUUCACUUCAUGGACAGAAGAAAAAGAAAGAAGAAUGGAUUGGGGUCCUAACAUUCCACCCAAGGUCAAAUAUAGAAGAUUUCCUACUGUACCUCAUCUCUGAAGUUUCUGCCUCCAUCCAUGGGAUGAUGACGAAAGCUCCAAUGGACUUCUGGGGGACACUUGUCUGAAUCACAGCAACAUGUUUAUCCCAGAAAUUAAUAUUAUAUAGUACUAUUAAUGCUUUCUAAUAAAUGUCAAUAUUUAGUCAGA